UGCUGCCGUACACCGGAACAAAAAUGACGGGAAGUGGAGAUCACCCGGAAACGUGAGAGGAAGCACGGCCUCCAUCUCGGCGGCCAUCUUUGUUUUUCUGCCCUGGAGGUUAACGUUGCCAACACUACAGGUAGAAGGAAACUGUUCUGAUUGUCAGCUGGAACAAGAACUAUGGGAUAUGGAAUGACUGGCAGAAGAACCAAAGUGAGCAUUUACACCCAUGUUGAGUAAUUUUGUUGGAAUUGCUUCAGAACCCUUGGAGAAACAUUGAACAUUUUGUUUUGGUGUUUACCAAUGGUAGACAACCAAGAGGACCUUGCAGAGAUUCAACACCAUGUUGUCAAAUGCAUCUGUAUGCAAGUCUAUUCACCAAACUGUUUUUGAGGGUGAUAAGAAACCAGCGAUCAUAUUUGUUUUGUGAAUGUUAAGUGUUUUGAUAACAGUGGAUAAAUAUUUUUAAUAAAGAAUGGAAAUCAGAUUGGAUCCUAGGUUUAUUUUCCAUUGAUCUCUCAGGCUGCAUUAGGAAUGGAAUGUGACUUUUAUCUCCAUGUAGAACAAAAAUCAACAGCAAGUAAUCCCUCUCCUGGAUAAUUGUACUUGGGACUGUUACGGACUCAGUGAAUGUCCCUUUAAGAUUGUGUGUGUGUGUGUGUGUGUGGGGCGUGCUUACGUCAAUAGAAGAUAAAGGACGUAAUGACGUUGUUGAAGAGGUCAGAAGAAGAGAGAGAGAAGGGAGAGAGACACCAGCCUGCUAGUUUUCUCUAUCGAUGGAUGAGAAACAAUAACUGUGUCUGCCACUGAAAUCCAUGUAUGGAAGUUGGAAGUAAUCCGGUGGGGUUCACUUUGUUGCUGACCUGUAGAAGGAAACAGGUAUUUGUGUGUGGACGACCACAAUUCGGAUGCUUUUCGGGGUGAGGAAGUCACUACCGAGUAAACACUGAAGUGUCGUUUGGGUUCCAUUGUGGAACAUUUGGAUUUCGUAUUUACUCUCUCUAUAUUUCUCUAUGUCUACGUCUACAUCUUAUCUUCAGACAACGGUGGUUGUUGAAGAAGCCCUUGCUCAUGUUUCACCUUAUGGCUUGCGGAACUGAACUUUAAGAACCAUUCCUGAACUUGGAGUUUGGGACUUUGCCACACACACACGAAGAGUUUAGUUUUUGGGGUUAAUGUUCAAGGUUUAACAUUUUUGAAUUCUAACAUACUAACAUUUUUACUUUUAUUUUACGUAUUAUCAUAAGUAGUG